UCUCCUUUUACCAGUCACCACCAGCCUGACCUCAUGCAUUUUUAGUACAAUGGAGUGGCUGAGCCUUUGAGCACACCACCAUUACAUCAUCGUGGCAAAUUAAAGGAGGUGGUGGAAAAAGAGGACUUAUUGUUGUCAUGGCCCAUGAGAUGAUUGGAACUCAAAUUGUUACUGAGAGGUUGGUGGCUCUGCUGGAAAGUGGAACGGAAAAAGUGCUGCUAAUUGAUAGCCGGCCAUUUGUGGAAUACAAUACAUCCCACAUUUUGGAAGCCAUUAAUAUCAACUGCUCCAAGCUUAUGAAGCGAAGGUUGCAACAGGACAAAGUGUUAAUUACAGAACUCAUCCAGCAUUCAGCGAAACAUAAGGUUGACAUUGAUUGCAGUCAGAAGGUUGUAGUUUACGGUCAAAGCUCCCAAGAUGUUGGCUUUCUGUCUUCAGACUGUUUUCUCACUGUACUUCUGAGUAAACUGGAGAAGAGCUUCAACUCUCUUCACCUGCUUGUAGGUGGGUUUGCUGAGUUCUCUCGUUGUUUCCCUGGCCUCUGUGAAGGAAAAUCCACUAUAGUCCCUACCUGCAUUUCUCAGCCUUGCUUAUCUGUUGCCAACAUUGGGCCAACCCGAAUUCUUCCCAAUCUUUAUCUUGGCUGCCAGCGAGAUGUCCUCAACAAGGAGCUGAUGCAGCAGAAUGGGAUUGGUUACGUGUUAAAUGCCAGCAAUACCUGUCCAAAGCCAGACUUUAUCCCUGAGUCUCAUUUCCUGCGAGUGCCUGUGAAUGAUAGCUUUUGUGAGAAAAUUUUGCCAUGGUUGGACAAAUCAGUAGAUUUCAUUGAGAAAGCAAAAGCCUCCAACGGGUGUGUCCUAGUGCACUGUUUGGCCAGGAUCUCUCACUCUGCCACCAUCGCCAUUGCCUACAUCAUGAAGAAGAUGGACCUGUCUUUAGAUGAAGCUUACAGAUUUGUGAAAGAAAAAAGACCUACUAUAUCUCCAAACUUCAAUUUUCUGGGCCAACUCCUGGACUAUGAGAAGAAGAUUAAGAACCAGACUGGAGCAUCAGGGCCAAAGAGCAAACUCAAGCUGCUGCACCUGGAGAAGACAAAUGAACCCGUCCCUGCGGUCUCAGAGGGUGGACAGAAAAGUGAGAUGUCCCUCGGUCCACCCUGUGCCGACUCUGCUACCUCAGAGGCAGCGGGGUAGAGGCCUGUGCAUGCUGCCAGUGUGCCCAGCGUACAGCCGUCACUGUUAGGGGACAGUCCACUGGUACAGGCGCUAAACGGGAUCCACCUGUCCUCAGAUAAGCUGGAAGACAGCAGUAAGCUCAAGCGUUCCUUCUCUCUCAAUAUCAAAUCAGUGUCGUAUUCAGCCAGCGUGGCAGCAUCCUUACACGGUUUCUCCUCAUCAGAAGAUGCUUUGGAAUACUAUAAAUCCUCCACUGCUCUGGAUGGGUCCAACAAGCUAUGCCAGUUCUCCCCGGUUCAGGAAGUGUCAGAGCAGAGUCCUGAAACCAGCCCCGAUAAGGAGGAAGCCAACAUCCCCAAGACACCCCAGGCCGCCAGGCCUUCAGAGAUCCAGAGCAAGCGAUUGCACUCAGUAAGAACCAGCAACAGUGGUGCCACCCAGAGGUCCUUCUUGUCUCCGUUACACUGAAGUGAGAGCGUGGAGGACAAUCACCACACCAACUUCCUUUUUGGCCUUUCCACCAGCCAGCAACACCUCACCAAGUCUACUGCCGGCCUGGGCCUCAAGGGCUGGCAUUCGGAUAUCUGGGCUCCCCAGACCUCGACCCCUUCCCUGACCAACAGUUGGUAUUUUGCUACAGAGCCCGCUCACUUCUACUCUGCCUCGGCCAUCUAUGGAGGCAAUGCCAGCUAUUCUGCCUAUAGCUGUAGCCAGCUGCCCACCUGCAGUGACCCAGUCUAUUCUGUGCGCAGGCAGCAGAAGCCAAGUGACAGAGCUGACUCUCGGCGGAGCUGGCAUGAAGAGAGCCCUUUUGAAAAGCAGUUUAAAUGCAGAAGUUGCCAGAUGGAAUUUGGAGAGAGCAUCAUGUCAGAGAACAGGUCGCGCGAGGAACUGGGGAAAGUGGGCAGUCAGUCUAGCUUCUCAGGCAGCAUGGAAAUCAUUGAGGUCUCCUGAGAAGAAAGACACUUGUGACUUCUAUGGACAGUUUUUUUCUUGUUCACAAAAAAUAUUCCCUGUAAAUCUGAAAUAUAUAUAUGUACAUACAUAUAUAUUUUUGGAAAAUGGAGCUAUGGUGUAAAAUCAAAAGAUGGAUCAACCCAGUUGUUCUCUCUUAACAUCUGCAUUUGAGAGGUCAGCUAAUAUUUCUCUCAACAAAAGUGGAAGGGCAGAUGCUAGAAUUCCCCCUAGAUGGAGGAAACAGUUUUAUUCAGUGAGUUGCACAUGCUCUUGUUCUCACAAAAGCAAGGGCAUUUGGUGUUAGAGGACAAAAUCCCCCACCAUUUUCAUGUUGUGCUACAAGGAGAUCUCAAAUACUCAUCUUUGUCCAGACCCUUCCCUAGUGCACCUUAGCGCUGAGACUAAGCCAGCUGUGGGUUGGGUAGGUAGACCCUGCUAGGGACAGAGCCUAA